rnacentral:lncRNA from 1 species
CAGUAGUAGUUUUGCCUCCCCUCCACCAUUUUUGGUGUCCCUCGUGGCUCCCACUUGUCAGAGGGGUGGAGGGGUGUCUCUGGGCCUCCACACAAUUUGCAGAGGCUCAGAUGCUCCCCUGGUGCCAUGUUUCUCUCCCUUGUUGCCAUUAUUGCUAGGUACAUAGCAGAGUCUAGGCUUACCUUCUUUUCGUUUACCUUGUUAGCUUGAAUAAACACAAGUGCUGACUUGCUUUGUCAUGGAAGCUUAAUCAAUCAAUUGUAGAGGAAAUGAUCUGAUUGUGUUGUUCACUUUAGUUUCUUCAUUUUCUGUCGACUGCCGGUGCAUGUUAUAUUUCUCUUGCACUGCGGUGAACUUUUGCUGGUUGACAAAGUGUUUGUUGCUGUUUUAUCUUUGAAAAAAUUGCUUGCAUCAUGUAACAGAAGUAGCAAGUGUAUUAGAUGCUUAGUUGGGGAAUAGGAUUUCGACGAUUCUGCCUCACUCUUAUUAGUUAUCAUGGUCAGUUGUGUUGAUUUAGAAGUAAUUUGGGGAACAACUGUUUAAUGCAAAUUUCUUUGUGUUGAAUAUGCAACAGUAGGCUUAUUUAACAUGAAAGUGUCUUUAUUUAGUUUUGUGUAGAAGUUGAAAGUUUUAUGUAGGUUCUUCUCUCUUAUAGGACAUACAAAAGCAGAGUCAGGACGCCGCCUCUUUUGAUUCCUUGACUCCUUUAUUUAAACGAGAUAUGUAUACUUUUAUGAAUUUGUUCCGCCUAACUCAGAAAUCACACACAUAAAUAUACAAAAUCGCAUGAUGGUCGGAGCAAAGCCAUGGAUACGCCACCCACACCAAAUCAACAAGUUCCCUCGCCUUGGCUUGGUUAGGGCAACUCCGACGCCGUGCAUCGGUUUGUAAUCGUUCGGACAACGCAUCCAACGCCGUGUAUCGAGCGUCCGUGGACCAGACGUCCUAAGUCACACAAUCCGGAAGCAAAGCUAGGGGAGGUUUGCGGGCGUUCGGACAACCGCCACAUAGGCGUUUGACGUCCCGGACCCAGCCAAAACCGAGGAGGAGCCUGCACAUUUGGACAUUUCCACGGCAUUUCCGCGCGAAAGCCUGCCCUAUCCCACCCUCUCCGCCCCCUAGUUCCCACCCGUUUCAACGUCCACCGCCACGAUGGAGCCAAUCGAGACGGUCGCCGUCACGCCCAAGCAGGAGCACCCGUUGGUGGUGGCCGCCCACAUGCCAACACGGUGACACGCAACACCAGUUGCCGCAAAUAGAAGAAAAGGAAGGGCAACACAGCAAGCCGGUCAACACUUGAGAGUAUGGGCUGGGCCGAGGAAAUAGCAGACAACCCCGCUUCAUGGCUUAAUCCCAGGAUGGUGGUGGUGUGAUGUACCUUGAAAUACCUCACCUUGGUGGUUGGCGCCCAAUGUGACCGCCUCAACCAACAAGUUUUUCCUCUCCUCGCCGGCCGGAGCCUAACAAACCAGGAACCUCUCCCACUCCAAAGUGGCAUAGGGCCGAUGAUCCCACCUUGUGCCGAAAGUACGGGACUACCAUGGUGUCAGGCACCUAGAAAUACCCUGCCUUGGCGCUCAAACCACUUGUGGUCAUCUAGGAAGUCGCAAAGAUGACCAAAAACACAAAACCAAUGAAACAUGAGAAGUAAACACGAUGGCAAUCUCGACACCACCAAUGAUGUUAUCAACCAUCCCCCUGACAGCCAAUCGUACCAAAACACGAAUGUCUCCUUGGCGUCACACAUGCUUCCUAGUGUCAACAAGGGAUAACUCCACAUCACACAGUGUUACAAACAUAAAUCCACAUCGAAGCAGGACAUGGGAGAUAAGGGGAUAUCAAGAAGCACAUCACAACACAAUGCAGCGAGCCGAGAACAAGAUCCCGCAAAAAUAAGGCACAAGAACAACACGAGUAAGGAUUUGCAAAAAAAAAAAAACAUGACAUGGGCUGGGCCGAGCGAAAGGCCGGCAAGCCCNNNNNNNNNNNNNNNNNNNNNNNNNNNNNNNNNNNNNNNNNNNNNNNNNNNNNNNNNNNNNNNNNNNNNNNNNNNNNNNNNNNNNNNNNNNNNNNNNNNNNNNNNNNNNNNNNNNNNNNNNNNNNNNNNNNNNNNNNNNNNNNNNNNNNNNNNNNNNNNNNNNNNNNNNNNNNNNNNNGCAAGCCCGGGACGGCCAUGGCGUGAGGCACCUUGAAAUACCACGGCUUGGCGCCCAACGUAACCGCCUCAACCAACAGCUUUCUCUCGCCUCUCCUCGCCGGCAGGAGUCCGUCGCCCUCCUCCAUCGCGUAGCGCUCACCUCCAAGCGUCACAGCGCCGGCGACCGAUGGACCAGUUCCACGACGGGCAGCACGUGCGGCUGCGGAACCGUCGGCGCGGCCGGUACGUCCGCGCCGCCGCCGACGGGGUGAGAGUCACCCUCAGCCGGCGCCGCGCGUCGCUGAACGUCGCGUGGACGGUGCACGUCUACCACAGCGCCGACGGCGACGGCCCGUACCUGCUCCUCCACAGCGCCGCCUACGGCCGCUACCUCGCCGCCACGGACAUGCCGCUGCCGGGCGGGCACGGCCGCUUCCGCGUCGAGCAGCGCAGAUACGACCAGCCGGAGCUGAGGCCCAUCAUGUGGCAGGCCAUCGGGGCCGGCGGCGGGGGCAGGGUCAUGCUCCGCAACGUCGGUGGCCUCCACCUCAGCGUCCGCGUCCGCGGCAGCCGCACCAUGUUCUACUGGGCCGUGGAGCCCAUCCCCGCCAGAGAGGCCGCGCCUCGCCUUCCACCGCCGCUUUCGGUGAGAUAAGUCUCGAAUUGCUUCUUGCCGCCAUUGUUGCCAACUCUGUUUCUCGAGAUUCAGGUUCCUGAUAGCAUCCGUGCUUUCGAUCAGAAAGAAAAUUCAGAGUCGAAAUUCAGAUUGCUUCUUUGAUCUGAUUUGAUCUCCUCCUCAACAUAACAAUCCAUGGUUCUUUGGCAGUUCGGGCAGGAGGAGCCGAGGGCGGAGCGGCGGAUCCGGGUCGUGCAAGCCACCGCCGAGGGGCUCUACGCCGACGAAGGCUGGUCCUAUUUCCAGUUCUUUGGGAGGUGCGUGAACCACCUGAGGAACGCUCUGGCCAGGCACCUCAACCUGCCGCGGAGCCCCGCCUUCGUCAUGUGUGUGCGAGCGGGCCGCCACGGGAGGCUCACCCCACUCGUCGUCGACCUGCCCCACGGCGGCUCCGGCGAGACCCUCGAGGUCGUCGUCAUGCUGUCCGGGACCCCUGGUGAGAGGCUAUCUCCCAUGUCUUACUGAAUUUGUUAUGCACAAUGUGCAGAUCUGAUCGUAAAAGAUGGUCUGAACUCUGAACUCUGAAGCUAGUAGAAAGAAACUACUGUUUCCACAUUUCUUUUCUUGAUCCAGAUAAUUCAGCUAGUAGAAAGGAACAUUUUGCCACUAGUAGAAAUUAUGGAGCCUAGAGAGCCAAAACAAAGUUCAUUCAUCUCAUUUCAUCUUUACAAAAUUCAGGCUGUAUACUACAAUGGACAGUGCAUAAAAGCAUAGUUCCUUGCACAUUUAUAUUGUUUUGGGUUCUGCCUUCUUGACGCCGUCAUUAUACUGUUAUUGAUCAUUGGUCUGCCACUUAACUUCCACAUUAUUUCUGCUGAUUCAGCCUGUGAUGCGCUGCGGCACCCGGACAUCGACGCAGAGUAGAGAAAGAUCAGAGCUGGAGUAUAGAGAGCUCACUUCUUCACAAGUUUCGCCACCUCCGAUAUGAUGACAGCAGAAAUUGUGCCUAUAGAUAGAUAGAUAGAAUAGAUAUAGAUUGAGAAAAUUCAGCAGCUCUAGUGUUUAGCUGAACUUGGUCCGUUCCUGACAGGACAGGGAGAGGGGGAAGCCCUGUCUGUUUUGGCCUCGCUGCUCUAUGAUUCAGAACUGCCGACGAAGGCAUUGUUGCGUCCCCAUGGCUGAACAAUGUUUGUUGUGAUGCUUGUCGUAGUAGUUGCUACAUUGUCGCUCUUCUGAUAUUCAUUUCUGUGAUGUGAUUGCCACCGUUUCUUUUCACUGUAGGGGGUUCCUGUAAUGAGUAAUAAGUUGAUGAUCCUGCAAAAAAAUUAAUUAGAUCAUGCAUUUCGCGUAACUGAAAAUGCUGUGAUUUUUGCAAUGAGUUGAUGGUCCUGCAUCCCUUUUAGAAUAUGCAUUUCGUGUAUAACUGAAUAAUGUACCGGGUUCUUCCUGUGAGCAGUAAUGGGAUUUUUAACGCAUGAAAUAAAAAUCAGAUUUUAUCCAGGAGCUCUACAUGACAACUAGUUUCUCCACAUCACACUGUUUUCAGGUUCAAGUUCUGCAAGUUUUUUCUGGGCAAUUUUUCUUUUGGUUUUUUCAAGCACGGUUUUCGCUUGGUUUUCUCUUUCUUUUUCCUUUUUAUUUUUAUUUUUCAUGAACUUUCUUUUGAAUUUGUGAACUUUUUAAAAGUUUGUGAAACAUUUUUUUCAAAUCUGCAAUUGUUUUCCAAAUUGGAGAACAUAAUUCAAACUCGUGAAAUUUUGUCAAAUUCAUGAAAUUUUGAAAAUUUUAACUCAUGAACAAUUUUUAAUUCAUAAUAUUUUCCAAUCCAUGAACCAUUUUCAAAUUCACGAUCUUGUAAAUUUUUUAACCCGUAACAAUUUUUUAAGUCGUGAACUUUUUCCAAAUUUGUGAAAUUUUUAAAAUUUAAAUCGUGAACACUUUUCAAAUUCAAGAAUUGUUUUUUAAACUUGUGAACUUUUUUGAAAUUUCAUGAACUUGUUUCAAAGCUAGUGGGCGAAGCAAGCACGCGUGCGAAGCUGGCGAGUAGGCGAGCAAGCUGGCGCAAUAAUAGGCCAUGGCCUAGCAAGCGAACGCCAAUUCCUAACUGGCGCUUAAAGCGCUGACUACGAGCUCCACAAAUAGACCGCGCCACACACAUGAAUUUGUUCGAAAUUUCAAAAAAUGUUCGCCUCUUCAAAUUUUGUUCAAAAAAUUACAAAUAUUUGUAUUUCAAAAAAUUGUAGAGAAAUUUCAGAAAAAAAUAUGUGUUUCAAAAUUGCUCAGAUAUCAAAACAAAUACAUUUUUUAAAAGAGCAAACAAAAUUUUCAACAUGAACAGUAUUUAAAUUCUUUGACAUUUUCUGGAAAAUACUAAAAAAUUGAAAUUUUAAAAAAAUCUUAGAAAAAUAUGAACAAAAGUUUGAAACCAAUUGUUUUUUUAGAAUUUCCUCAAACAUUUUUGUAUUUGUGUAGAGAGAGAGAGAGNNNNNNNNNNNNNNNNNNNNNNNNNNNNNNNNNNNNNNNNNNNNNNNNNNNNNNNNNNNNNNNNNNNNNNNNNNNNNNNNNNNNNNNNNNNNNNNNNNNNNNNNNNNNNNNNNNNNNNNNNNNNNNNNNNNNNNNNNNNNNNNNNNNNNNNNNNNNNNNNNNNNNNNNNNNNNNNNNNNNNNNNNNNNNNNNNNNNNNNNNNNNNNNNNNNNNNNNNNNNNNNNNNNNNNNNNNNNNNNNNNNNNNNNNNNNNNNNNNNNNNNNNNNNNNNNNNNNNNNNNNNNNNNNNNNNNNNNNNNNNNNNNNNUACUGUUGCCUGCUCCGGGGGGGGGGGGGGGGGUGAUGUGGGGGAUGCUUAGCAGUAGCGUCGGGUUGCCCAGCCCGCGUUGCUACUGAGAUGUACCUGUAGCGUUGCUUCCAGUCCCGCGCUGCUACUGAGAUGUACCUGUAGCGCUGCUUUUAGUCCCGCACUACUGCUAAUUAAUACUGGCGCCGGCUUCAGACCCUGCGCUACCGCUAAGUAUCUAUUUAUAAGGUAUUGUCUAGUAGCGUGAGCGACAUUGAAAGAGGGACUAAUAGCACUUAUGGUUGUAUCAUUAGCAAGCUAGUUUAGUUAAUUGUAAGUUUAUUUUUGAAGGUCGAGCAUCAAACACUAAUGCAGAUAGAUUAGGUAAGUUUUCGAACACUCUUUAUUAAUGACGACAUCUAUGGUUUAUUCACCACAUGAUUAUGUUGUUAUACCAGUUCAUGUGGACUAUGAUUAAUAAAGCUUAGCUAUACCCCUAAAAAAACUACAGUAAGAUCGGGGGGCGAAUUUGCCAUUGGAGGGUCUGUGUAGAAUUGGUUAGCGCAACUUUCUAUCGUCGGGUCGUUGGUUCGUGAGCCGUGCGUCACUAUUUUUCAUCUUAAUUUCUGAUAUUGACAGACGGGCCCACUAGUCAUUGAGACAUGUAGUAUUCAAGUAAUCCUAUUUUCACCGCUAUAAGUGGGCCCCAUGCCAUGUCAGUGCCACGUCAGCCAUAUACAGUGCGAUGUCGACAUCUACAAAUGGGAUUAUCACCGUAUUUGCAGGUUUGUGCCAAUUUUUAGAAUCAGUUCGGCAUAUCUUUUAUGUUCAGACACUAAACCGAAUAUCCGUGGUAAAUUGAAGCACCACUGAUGUAUUUACCUCUACCAGAACCGCUAGAGAAACCGAUUUUCACGCGGUAGCACCUCGGUUCGGUAAUAGGGGAGAGUGAAGGUAAGACCGUAAGAGUGCUCUGGAUAUGGGUUGGGCCAAAAAGAUGUCAGAGAAGCCCAGCUGGUGCCCAAAGCCCAGAACAGCCAUGGCGUCUGGCACCUUGAAAUACCCUGGCUUGGCGCUUAAAGUAACCGCCUCACCCAACAGCUUUCUUUCUCCUCUCGUCGCCGGACGGAGCCCCAGCGAACCAAGAACCUCUUCCUCGCCCUCUCUCCACCUCCAAGCGGCACAACACCGGCGACCGAUGGAGCAGUUCCACGACAGGCAGCACGUGCGGCUGCGGAGCCGCAGGCGCGGCAAGUACCUCCUCGCCGCCGACGACGGGGAGAGCGUCACCCUCUGCCAGCACCGCGCGACACUGAACAUGGCCUGGGCGGUGCACCUCUACCACGGCGCCAACGGCGUCGGCCCGUACCUGCUCCUCCACAGCGCAGCCUACGGCCGCUACCUCGCCGUCACGGACACGCCGCUGCCGCACGGGCCCGGCCACUUCCGCGUCGAGCAGCGCAGCAACGACCAGCCCGGGGCGGGGCCCGUCAUGUGGCAGGUCAUCGGGGGCGGGGGCGGGGGCGGGGGCUUUCCGGACGACGUCCGGCUCCGCAACGCCGGCGGCCACUACCUCCGCGUCCACGGCAGCUUCCCCGCCACGUCGAGCCCAUCCCCGCUGUCAGGCUGGUGUAAUCUUCAGAGCAUAGAGCAUCUUCAGAUAGCGGACGACGGGGAUGGAAGCACGUCAAGGGAUCGGACGGCUCGCUACGCUCGCCUCCGACUGAAGCGUUAUCAGUUACUGUUGUCUUUUCCGUUGCCGUAACUGUUCACCGUUAUGUUUUGUAGCUGCCUAUAUAAAGCCACCCUUUCCCCUGUUGUAAGGCAUGCCAUUUCUAUGAAUGAAUCAACUACAAACUUUAUAGCUAAUAUAUUCGCAUAUUCGCCUCGGAUACCCAUAUACGCUCCUGGUGACGAACCCUAGCGUUUCGAUCCCCAGAUCCCUUAGUUCGAUCCAGCUCCGGGUGUUACAAUUGGUAUCAUGAGCCAGGCUGAUCUUCGGAGAGCAGUGUAGCGGCGCGGAAAAAAAAUUCUCCCUCCCUUCCCUCCCACUUUUUGGCGGCGAUUUUGGGGCGUCCGUGUCGGGCGGCGAUGGAGGCGGUGUGGUGGCGCAGGCGGCGGUAGACUUAUUCGGCGACAACUUGGGAUCAGGAUCGGGUUGCGGGAACGCUCUGUUUCCGUGGUAAAAUUCCUUGUCCUCUUCCAGGUGGUGUUGCAGGGGAGCAGAUCAUGCUGGGUAGUCUCAGUCUCAGAUCUGUUCGGGUUUCCAGUUUGGUGGGCUAUAAAAUUCCUCUCAGGUUGAGACUCAGAUGGGGCGUCCAAAGCCGAGUUUGGAUGAGAAUGAUAUCGCGGAAUUGUUGGCUCUUAAAGGCGAGGUAGUGCAGACCCGUGAAGAUACGGCAGAGAUGCGGGGAGAACUAGAUGAUCUGCGCAAAGACGUCCACGCCAUGAACCUCAAGCAGGAUACUAUGGCCAAAGCGAUGACGGGAGUGCAGGACGUGGUUUCUGCUCUGAAUACGCAGUUGUCGACCAUGGCAGAUAUCCUCAAAAGUUUCAGCAACAAUCAGGUACCAACUUCAGGGCAACCAGUCACAACCCAAACAGUAACAGAUGUUGACAUUCCCCAAACUUCUCGAGAGGCUGCAGAACCUGAUCACACCAGACCAUUAACUGAAGAAUUGCGCAAGCGUUUGGCGUUGGAACAAGAGAAGACCAAACAGUGUGCACUCCAACUACCGGCCAGUUUGCCUCCUGUCCGGGUAACCACUAGAUCAGCGCCUCCGGGCUAUGCAGAUGCACCUCGGCGUGACACUCAUUCGGGCAAUGCAACUCCUACAGCCACUUAUCGAACUGCCCACACUGCUGUCUUCAAUAACUUUCAGCCACCAGCAAUUCGCACGCAUUGGGAGGAUUUCUACAGACAGUACGAACAGGAAAUGAGGACACAGUUUCUGAAAUCCAUCACUAAAGGACCUCAUUUGGAUUUCCCUUCCUUUGAUGGGGAUAAUCCAGGAGGAUGGAUCAGGCAGUGUGACAAGUUUUUCCAGAUGUCAGGCACACCUAAUGAGUACAAAGUAAACCUUGCACAAAUGCAUGUAGUGGGCAAGGCAGACGUUUGGCUCAGGCGCUCGGGUAUUCUAGCAAAGAAACCAACAUGGUCUCAAUUUUUCACUGAACUCCUGCAUCGUUUUUCUUCCUCCACUUCAUAUGAUUUGACAGAGAAGUUCCAUUCCCUGAAACAGAACACUCUGACUGUUGCUGAAUACACUGAACAGUUUGAGGAACUCAUGGCUGAAGUUCAGCAGGAAAACCCUGACAUUUCCGAAAGUUGGUUUGUGAGAUGCUACGUGAAUGGACUCAGAUCUCAGUUGAAAUUCCAGUUGAGGCCUCUUAGACCGGUUACCCUAACAGAUGCUUAUUGGUUGGCAAUUGACAUUGAACAAGGAGCACCUGUCAAGAAGCAGUUCCAACAGUACACAUCUACUUCUAAAGCAACUACCCUGUUCCCCAAGCAACAUACUAGCCUACCUGACAAACCCCAUGAGUUCAAAACUCCAGUUACUACUCAGAGGGCUAGGGAACCAGGCAAAUAUUGGAGAUGUUGAGACCACUGGUUUCAUGGACAUAAGUGUAAGCAGGCACCUGUAAUCAAUGUUCUAACUGGAGAACCACCCACUGAAAUUCCAGGAGAACAAGAGGAAAUGGAAGAAAUGGAACAAGAAGAGCAGCUUGCUGCAGAGGAACAAUGUAUGAGAAUUUCUUUACAAGCUAUGCAAGCAGACAGUGUUAAUACUAUCUCUAUUGCUGUAUUUGUGUGUGGGGGGGGAAACAAGCUAUUGCUUUAGUCUGAAAUUUGCUCUACAAACUUCUUGCACAAUUCUCAAGGACAAGUCCAGAGCAGUAACUGUUGCUGGAGGAGGGAAGUUGUGGUCAGGAUCUUACAUCCCUACAACUACUUUCACUGCUGGUAAUACUCAGUUUCAACACCAAUUCAGAAUAUUGGAUUUGCCAGGCCAUGAUAUUGUUCUGGGUUCAGAUUGGAUGGCCAAGCAUAGCCCAGUGACAUUUUCUUAUGAUCCAAGACAGCUUAUUAUUUGCCAUAAUCAGAGUACCUCUGUUACUAUUCCUGCAUGUGAGACAUUAUCUGCUACAGAAGAAAUUGAUGCUCUGCAGUUGCACAGAAUGUUACUUAGUGGUGCUCCUGCAUUUGUACUUUAGUUAGCAGAAGACACUACUUUCAAUCCUAGCAAAACUGACAACACUCCUCCUCCAAUUAUGGACGUGUUGCAGGAAUUUCCUGAAGUUUUUCAAGAACCACAAGGAUUACCUCCAGUAAGAGAAUUGGAUCAUGAGAUACCCCUGAAACCCAAUGCUGAACCACCUAAUUCUAGGCCCUACAAGGUUCCUCAUAUGCAGAAGAAUGAGAUGGAGAAACAAAUUCACCACCUGUUGCAGUCAAAGAUGAUCAGGGAAAGCCAAAGCCCUUAUUCUUCCCCAGCAAUUUUAAUUAUGAAGAAAGAUGGGUCUUGGAGAAUGUGCAUUGACUACAGGAAACUAAAUGUAGCUACAGUUAAGAACAAAUUUCCCAUUCCAGUAAUUGAGGACCUGCUGGAUGAGCUCCAUGGAGCAAAGAUCUUCUCCAAAUUGGACCUCAGAUCAGGGUAUCAUCAGAUAAGAAUGCAUGACAAAGACAUACCCAAAACUGCAUUCAGAACUUAUUUCGGGCACUAUGAGGUUUUGGUCAUGCCAUUUGGGCUAACCAAUGCACCUGGCACUUCUCAAGCUCUCAUGAACAAGAUUUUUGGCUCUUACCUCAGAAAGUUUGUGUUGGUAUUCUUUGAUGAUAUACUUAUAUUCAGUCAAAAUCCAGAAGAGCACAAAGAACAUCUCAAAAUAGUACUGCAACUUCUCAAACAACACCAGUUGUAUGUCAAUAUCUCUAUAUGUGUCUUUGCAGUACCCCAGGUAGCAUAUUUGGGCCACAUUAUUUCUGGCAGUGGAGUUUCUACUGACCCAGCCAAGAUCUCUGCAGUUGCAGACUGGCCAAUUCCAACUACUCCAACCCAGUUAAGAGGUUUUCUGGGGUUGUGUGGGUAUUACAAACGUUUUGUCAAAAACUUUGGCAGCAUUGCUAGGCCUCUCCACAACAUACUGAAGAAAGACAGUUUUGUCUGGUCCUCUGAACAAACACAAGCUUUUCAAGAGUUGAAACAAGCACUAAUCUCUGCCCCACUGUUGGCCCUUCCUGACUUUUCUGCUCCUUUUGUUCUUGAGACAGAUGCUUCAGGAACAGGGUUGGGAGCUGUGAUGAUGCAACAAGGGCAGCCCAUCGCUUAUUAUAGCUCAGUUUUGUGCCCCAAAAAUGCUGCAUUAUCCACUUAUGAAAAGGAAGCAUUGGCAAUUAUGGAAGCAUUGAAGAGAUGGAGACAUUAUUUUUUGGGAAAUGACUUAAUUAUCAGAACUGAUCAUCAGAGCUUACAGUUCAUGACAGAUCAGAAAGUAUCAACUAGCAUUCAACACAAACUAAUGCUUAAACUAUUGGAGUUCAACUUUCAGUUGGAGUACAAAAAGGGAAAAGAGAACAUUGUGGCUGAUGCCCUGUCUAGGAAGUACUCCUGUUUGGCCAUCUCACUAGCCACUCCACAGUGGAUCUCUGAAGUGGAGACUUCUUACCAGAAUGAUCCUCAUUUCCAGCAGUUACUAGAGAAGCUCUUACUAACUGACACACAUGCUGUCAAUCAUAACUCCCUUCAUAAUGGUAUAAUCAGACAUAAAGGAAAAAUUUAUGUGGGAAGAGACACUGCUUUGAGGAUGAGAAUUAUGCAGGCCUUGCACUCUUCUGCUAUUGGGGGGCAUUCAGGCAUGAAAGCAUCUUACAAGAGGUUGAAACAGGUGUUUUACUGGCCUGGCAUGAAAAAGGACCUGGACAACUUUGUGUUACUCUGCCCAGUGUGUCAGAAAAACAAGGGGGAAACCUGCCCAUAUCCUGGGUUCUUAGACCCACUACACAUUCCUGACAUGGUAUGGACACAUAUCAGCAUGGAUUUCAUUGAAGGACUGCCCAAAUCCAAUGGGAAAGAGGUGAUCUUUGUGAUGGUGGACAGAUUGUCUAAAUUUGCUCAUUUCAUUCCUUUGUCACAUCCCUAUAUAGUCCAAACAGUCGCUCGAGCAUUCAUUGAUAAUGUGCUGAAGUUGCAUGGGCCCCCUCUUGCAAUUGUUUCUGACAGAGACUGUAUUUUUACCAGCAGACUGUGGAAAGACAUUUUUGCUGCUAUGGGAAUUGAAUUACGUUACAGCUCAGCUUAUCACCCUCAGUCUGACGGCCAGACGGAACGUGUAAACCAGUGCAUUGAAAACUAUUUGCGUUGCAUGACAGCAUUGGAACCAAAGAAAUGGGCACUGCAUUUGUCUAUGGCAGAGUAUUGGUACAAUACUUCAUUUCACUCUUCGUUGCAGAAAACUCCUUUUUAGGCACUUUAUGGCUACCCUCCCCUUGACCUCCAGCUUCCAGAAGCGUUGGCAACCAUUGACAAAGAAGCAACAGAGUUCUUGGGGGACCGGACUGUGAUGUGGCAGCAAUUGAAAUCCAACCUGGCCAAUGCUCAAGCUCGUAUGAAGAAAUACGCUGAUCUUAAGCGGGUGGAACGACAGUUGUCAGUGGGAGACAUGGUCUACCUCAAAAUGCAGCCGUACCGCUUGAAUGCAUUCGGUGCUCGCUCGCAUAUUAAACUCCAGAGUAAAUUUUAUGGCCCAUUCAGGGUGAUCGCCAAAGUGGGCAACGUGGCUUAAAAAUUGCUGUUGCCAGAUAGCGCUGCCAUUCAUCCUGUUUUCCAUGUGAGCCAGCUGAAAAAGCAUCUGGGUCCCACGGCCGUUCCUUGUGCUGAUCUUCCAUUGAUUGGUCCGGAUGGGCGUGUACGCACUGAACCAUCUUGGGUGUUGGAGACACGCCAAAUCCCACGUAACAAUGUCGCGGUGGUGCAAUGGCUCGUGCAGUGGGAGAAUUUGCCACCUGCAGAGGCGUCCUGGGAGGAUGCAGAUUUUAUGAAAAAGGUGUUCCCAGUGUUCUUUAAGCAGACGGUGGAUCGCUGGUUUAAUCGUUCAGCUUCUUGAGGACAAGUUCGCCCUCAGCGGGAGGUAUUGUCAGGCUGGUGUAAUCUUCAGAGCAUAGAGCAUCUUUAGAUAGCGGACGACGGGGAUGGAAGCACGUCAAGGGAUCGGACGGCUCGCUACGCUCGCCUCCGACUGAAGCGUUAUCAGUUACUGUUGUCUUUUCCGUUGCCGUAACUGUUCACCGUUAUGUUUUGUAGCUGGCUAUAUAAAGCCACCCUUUCCCCUGUUGUAAGGCAUGCCAUUUCUAUGAAUGAAUCAACUACAAACUUUAUAGCUAAUAUAUUCGCAUAUUCGCCUCGGAUACCCAUAUACGCUCCUGGUGACGAACCCUAGCGUUUCGAUCCCCAGAUCCCUUAGUUCGAUCCAGCUCCGGGUGUUACACCCGCCAGAGAGGUCCCGCCUCACCUUCCACGCCCGUUUGUGGUGAGACCCGGCCGUUCUUGCCAUUGUUUACCAGCUCUGUUUUCGAUCAGAAAGAAAAUUCAGAUUCCUGAUAGCUUCUUUGAUUUGAUCUCCUCUUCAUCAACAUAAUAAUUCAUGGUUCUUUGGUGCAGGAGGUGCCUCCGGCGUGGCGGUUGAUCCGGUUCCGGCUCUACACCGAUGACGGCUGGGUCCUGGUUCCAGUUCCAGUUCUGGGGGAGGUGCGUGUACAACCUGAGGAAGAACUUGGCGUGGAUCCUAAACCUGCCGCUGCCCCGGCGCCACGCCUUUGUCAUGUGCGUCCGAGCGGGCCGAUAGGGAAGGCUAACCCCGCUCAUCGACAACAUGCCCCGCGGUGGCUCCGGCGAGACCCUCGAGCUCGUCGUCAUGCUGUCCGGGACCCCCAGUGAGAGCCUCUCUCCAUGUCUUGCUGAAAAUUUGUUAUGCACAAUGUGCAGAUCUUGGUGUGGAUACUCCUAUUCUUGCUGCAUGGUCAUGAUAUUUUUGGUUUUAUUUUGGUUGUCUUGUAGUAGACUACUGUAGGUAGUUGCUUACUGAGGAAUAAAUUUCAUGAGUAAUUUGGGGUCUUACUUUAGUGGAGUGCUAAUCUGAUCGUGCUUGGAAAAAUGAUAUUAUGCCAGGUUUUAUUAGGACUUUGGGACUUGUCUGAACUCUGAAACUUGUUGCAGCCUUGUAGAAAAGUAAAAGUAGUUGAAUGGGAAUAUUAUAGGUGCCAAUGCCAUGUGGAUUUAUUAGUUUUGCAGAGAAUACGCUAAGUUUCUAACCAAUGAACAAAAUUCAGGCUGUAUCCUACAAUGGACAGUGCAGAAAAGCUUAGUUCCUCGCACAUUUAUAUUGUUUUUGGUUUUGCCUUCUUGAUGCCGUUAUUAUACUGUUAUUCAUCAUUGGUCCGCCGCUUAACUUCCACAUUAUUUUCACUGAUUCAGCCUAUGAUGCGCUGCGGCACCCGGAUGUCGACGCAGAGUAGAGAAAGAUCAGAGUCCUGACACAAGUUUUGCCUAUGGAUAAAUAUAGAUUGAGAAAACUCAGCAGCUCUCGCGUUUCUUCUACUAGCUGAACUUGGUCCGUUCUCUUGACAGGACAGGGAGAGGGGGAAGCCUCACUGUUCUAUGAUUCAGAACUGCCGAAGGCAUUGUUGUGUCGCAUGGCUGAAUAAUGUUUGUUCUCAUGCUGGUUGUAGUAGUUGCUGCAUUGUUGCUCUUUUGACAUUCAUCUCUGUGAUGUGAUUUCCAUCAUUUUUUUUCACUCUAGGGGCUCCUGUAAUGAGUAAUGAGUUGAUGAUCCUGCAAAAAAAUUUAAUUAGAUCAUGCAUUUCGCGUAACUAAAGAUGCUGUGAUUUUUGCAAUGAGUUGAUGUGUCACACCUAGGUAGGGGAUGAGAGUGUAUGGCUCGUGUUCUCCCCCCUUUGUUGACCUUAUUCGAGCUUGCUAACUCUCAAUCUCUCCAUGGAUUCUUGCUAGUUUUUUGGGGGGAAGGGAGAGAGGAGAUCUAGAUCCACAUUUCCACCAAUCACUUUCUCCUCUAUGUGAGGGGAACCCCUUGGGUCUAGAUCUUGAAGUUCUUGGUGUUCUCCUUCUUAUUCUUCCUCUCAUUUUUCUCCCUAGCAUUAGUUGCUUUGGUGGGAUUUGGGGGAGAAGGACUUGGGCACUCCGUGUGCCCUUGCCAUUGCAUUUGGUGCAUCGGUUUGAGUUCUCCAUGGUGAUACGUGGAAGUUACAAGUUGAGAAGCUUAUUACUCUUGGGUGUUUGGUACCCUUGAGCUUGUUCCUCUUGGGUGCUUGGGCGCCCCAGACGGUUGGUGGUUUUCGGAGCUCAAUCAUUGUGGUGCAAAGCUUCGGGCAAGCGUCGGGGUCUCCAAUUAGGUUGUGGAGAUCGCCCCGAGCAAUUUGACGGGUACCGGUGACCGCCCCCAAGGGUUGCCAAAGUGUACGGGUUCGGUGACCGUCCCCAAGGGUUGCCAUUUGUACGGGUUCGGUGACCGCCCUUAAGGGUCCCUUAGUGGAAUCAUGACAUCUUGCAUUGUGCGAGGGCGUGAGGAGAUUACGGUGGCACUAGUGGCUUCUUGGGGAGCAUUGUGCCUCCACACCUCUUCCAACGGAGAUUAGCAUCCGCAAGGGUGUGAACUUUGGGAUACAUCGUCGUCUCCGCGUGCCUCGGUUAUCUCUUACCCGAGCCCUUUACUUAUGCACUUUACUUUGUGAUAGUCAUAUUGUUUUUUGUCAUAUAUCUUGCUAUCACUUAGUUGUUUAUCUUGCUUAGCAUAAGUUGUUGGUGCACAUAGGUGAGCCUAUUUGUUUUAGGUUUUGUGCUUGGCAAAUUAACUGCUAGGUUUAUUCCGCAUUUAUUCAAGCCUAAACCGUAAUUUUUUAAAAAGCACCUGUUCACCCCCUCCCCCUCUAGGCGACAUCCUCGAUCUUUCAGAGUGUAUGGGCCAGAGCCCAAUGGGUGUACUGGGCCGCUUGUGGCCAGCGUGUGUGUGUGGACUUGUACUUAAGCGGUGGCCGCAAACGAGACAUGCAGGAAAUGAAAUACGAUCUGAACUCUCUCAUCCCCUUCCCUUCUCUGCUCACCUACCUGCUUCCUCCCUCACCCCGAUCCCCUUUCCUGUGGGAUCGAUCCUCUCCCUAGGGUUCAUCGGUCGUCACAAUUGGUAUCAGAGGCCACGAAAUUUUUCUUCUCCGCUACCGAUCCGCGCCGUCGCCCCACAUCCUCUUGGUAAAUCGGUAACACCCACUGCAUCAGGUGCGGAUUCGCUUCGGUGAAUUCACGCGAAAUCCUGUGUGGGGUUCGAUUUGCUCGGAGCGGGAGCAACGACGACAUCCAAGGCUUCUGUGCAGACGCGGCACCUCAUGGCUACCAUGGAGAAUCAGACAUCCAACCUCUCGGCCCUCAUGGAGAAGCUACUGGAGCACUUCGAUGAGGAGCGGGCGGAGGCGGGGAAGCCCGCAGAGGUGCAGGGCGCCUUCAACAGCCAGGUCUCCCAAGAGCUCGUCAGCCUCUCCAAGCAGAUCGGCCUCACCCAAGCCAAGGUCAAUGACGUUCGGAAGGGGGCCUCCUCUUCGCCCUCGUCGGCCCUCUCCGCCAGAUCCGACGUCGACAACCCGACCACGACUGCGCCACCACCACCACCGCCACCGGAGCCGCACGUCGCUCCACCUCCGAGCGCGCUGCCACAUCCGCAAGCGCUGGCUGGCGGCCAGCCGCGCGCCCGUCUGAUCAACGACGGACCGCUGAUGCUUCGAGUACCAGAGCAGCCGCCACCACCAGAGCACGCUCAUCACCAACAACCGUGCGAGGAUUACUUCACCAAGCCACCGAAACACAAUUUCCCUCGCUUCGAUGGGGAGUACCCGCACGUUUGGCUGGAUCGAUGCCUGGCGUAUUUCGAGCUCUACCGCGUGCCGGAGCACAGUUGGGUGACCACCGCAGCGCUCUAUGUGGAAGGGCGCGCUGCACUCUGGUUACACGCGUUUCGGCAACAAAAUCCGAUUCUCCGCUGGGAUAUGUUCAGGCACGCGAUUGAAGAGGAGUAGGGACCGGACGAAUUUGAGUCCCUAAUGCACAGCCUCAUGCAAUUGCGACAGACUGGCAGUGUGAUUGAGUACAUGCAGCAAUUUAAGGUUCUGAUGUACAAUUUGCUGGCCCUGGAUGCAACCCUGAGUCCCAAAUUUUUUGUGACACAAUUUCUGAUGGGCCUUAAGGAUGAGCUGCGCGCUGCCGUACGCCUUCAAGCACCCCACAACAUCACCCGUGCCACAGUUUUUGCAAGAAUUCAGGAAGAGGAGCUUGCGAGCAGGUCGACCGCCUCCACUGCCCCACUCUGCACCAACUCCGGGAUGGCCACUGACAGAUGCAACCGUGGUGCCAGCAGGGAACCCACCCAAACUGAUCGUCGCAGCCAAACAAGCGGAAGAUGACUUCGGCAGAGAGCGGCAGUUACGGGAUUACAGGCGCCAGCAUGGCCCGUGUUUCUGCUGUGGCGAGAAGUACUCCAGAGAGCAUCAGUGCAAGCGAUCAGCUAAACUACUUACCAUUGAGGUUGGUGAAUAUGGAGAGGUCAUGUCAGAUGAUGCAGUGCGCACCCUGGAGCUGUUAGAUGAACCAGUGGUGGCUGACACCGCGUGCUGCCUACUAUCAGCGCAUGCUGCACAAAGCACGAAAGUGGCAAAAACCAUCAGACUUCGCGCUACUGUGGGCGGACAUACAAUGUUGUUACUCGUCGACUCCGGCAGUACACAUAGUUUAGUCAGCACGGCUUUUGCUAAGCGUGUGGCGGUUUCGACAACCAAGAUGCCGGCAGUGGCCGUUCGCGUCGCCAACGGCCAAUGGCUGACCUGCAUAGCUAUGGCACCCCAACUCCGCUGGACCAUUCAAGGUCACGAAUUUGUCACCAGAAAUCCAUCAUGAAUUAACAGGUUUCUUGUAGCGCGAUAUGCACCUGUUGGAGUUGGGCGCGUACGAUGUCGUCCUGGGAGUUGACUGGUUUGCUCAAUACAACCCAAUGAAAUGUGAUUGGAAUCUGAAAUCAAUGGAAUUCGUCAAGGAGGGAACCACGGUACAGCUGUUCGGUGUGCGCACGGAGGAGCAGCCUACGCUAGCGGCAAUGGAUGCUGCUAUGCUUUGGCAACUGCAGGAGGCCAACGAAAUCUGGGGUGCGGCUCUGUUGUAGAUUCAGGCCCCCGCAUCACCUCAAGAGGAACCAAGUCCCUCGAUCAUCCAACAAAUACUGACAGACUUUCGUGAUGUCUUUGAGGAGCCAAACACAUUACCUCCUCAUCGACAAUACGAUCACGCCAUCACCCUGGAACCGGGCACAACACCAAUCAACUGCAGACCAUACCGGUACUCACCACUGCAAAAAGAUGAGAUCGAGUGACAUGUUGCUGAAAUGCUCUGCAAGGGCCUCAUCACUCUUAGCAUGAGCCCGUUUGCUGCGCCGGUCCUUUUGGUCAAGAAAAAGGAUGGAUCCUGGCGAUUCUGCGUUGAUUAUCGAAGAUUGAACGCCGUAACCAUCAAGAACAAAUUUCCCCUUCCGGUUAUCGAUGAGCUACUGGAUGAAUUGGCGGGUGCGGCAAUCUUCUCCAAGAUUGAUUUGUGUUCGGGUUAUCAUCAGAUCCGCAUGCGAGAGGGGGAUGAAGCAAAGACAGCCUUCAAAACUCAUCACGGGCACUUCGAGUUCCACGUGAUGCCGUUCGGAGUCACAAAUGGACCUCCCAGAUUCCAAUGCCUCAUGAACCUCUCCUCGUUGGACCGCACCGUAAGUAUGUCAUAAGUUUUCUGGAUGACAUUCUGGUGUUCAGUCAUACAUUGCAGGAACAUGUCGAGCUUUUGCGCAUGGUGUUGUCUCUCUUGCGACAACAUCAACUGUAUGCCAAGGAAUCCAAGUGCUCAUUUGCCCAGCCUCGCAUCGAAUAUCUUGGACAUGUGAUUUCCAAGGAAGGUGUGCCAACGGAUGCCAGCAAGACCAGCACCAUGUGUUCGUGGCCUAUACCAACAAAUGCCACGGAGCUGCGGGGAUUCCUCGGUCUAACUGGUUACUAUCGCAGGUUCGUUCCAAGAUAUGGGAUCAUCGCCAAGCCACUCACGCAGCUGCUCACUAAGAAAGGAUUUCUAUGGUCUGAACAAGCCCAAGUCGCCUUCGACCUCCUCAAGCAAGCUAUGGUCAAUACCCCGGUCUUGGCACUGCCGGAUUUUUCACGCUCAUUUUCCAUCGAAACAGGUGCUUGCGACACCGGAGUGGGCGCGGUGCUAGUCCAAGAUGGUCACCCAGUGGCAUAUCUCAGCAAGGCAUUGGGGGUCCGCAAUCAACGUCUGUCCAUCUAUGAGAAAGAGUUUCUCGCUGUCAUCAUGGCCGUUGACAAAUGGCGUCCCUAUGUGUAGAGAGCUCCCUUUGUCAUUAUCACUGAUCACAAAAGUUUGUGCAGUUUGGGAGAUCAACAGUUGGAAACAGAGCUUCAGCGCAAGGCUAUGUUAAAGAUGGUGGGGUUACAGUUCUCCUUCAAAUAUCGCCGGGGCCAAGACAACGGCGCGACAGAUGUCUUGUCCCGCGUCGGCCACUUACUGUCUGUCGAAGCAAUGUCUGUCAGUCAGCCCCAAUGGCUUCAAGAGGUUGCUAACUCUUAUGAGACAGAUCCCGAUGCGCAAGCCAUGUUGCAGCGGUUGGCCCUUUGCAGUCCAGACGACCAAGGUUAUGAGCAAGGGGUGAUUCGCCAUCAUGGCAAACUAUGGAUCGGAGCGAACACUGCCCUGCAGACCAAGAUGAUCAGUGCAUUUCACACGAGCGCGGUGGGAGGACAUUCAGGAGUCACGGCCACUUAUCAACGCCUCAAGAAACAAUUCACUUGGCGUGGUCUCAAAACGGCCGUCGAAGAUUUUGUGAGACAGUGUGCAGUCUGUCAACAUGUGAAGUCUGAACAUAUCCGGACCCGGGUCUGCUUCAUCCACUUCCAAUACCCACUCAGCCGUGGAAGGAUUUGACGAUGGACUUCAUCGACGGCUUGUCGGCAUCCGACGAAUACGAGGUGAUGAUGGUCGUCAUCGACCGGUUCACCAAGUAUGCACACUUUGUGCCACUUCGUCACCCAUACACUGCUACUACCGUCGCGCGUACCUUCUAGGACAACAUCAUCAAGUUACACGGGGUGCCCGAUUCCAUCAUCUCUGACAGAGAUAGUGUUUUCACCAGUAAAAUGUGGCGGGCAAUACUGGAUGCUGCUGGUACAGAAUUGAGUUACUCCACGGCAUACCAUCCUCAGACCGAUAGGCAAAGUGAGCGGGUGAACCAGUGCCUUGAAAUGUAUCUUCGUUGUGCUGUCCAUGAGACACCCAAGCGAUGGUGCAAAUGGCUGUCAACCACGGAGUUCUGGUACAACACAACCUACCACUCCUCACUCAAUACUUCACCAUUUGAAGCCUUGUAUGGGCAGGAACCAAACCUGGGAGGGUUGCCUACCUUGGUCACCAACUUACCUAAAGAUGCAGGAACAGAGUUUGACUGGGCGACACAUAACACAAGGCUGCAUGCCCAGCUCUCGCGCGCGCAGAAUCGGUGCAAGCAGAAGGCCGACAAGCACCGCUCAAAGUGUUCCUUCCAAGUGGGAGAACAUGUUCUACUCAAGCUUCAACCCUACACUCAAUCAAUUGUCGCCAACCGCCCCUGCCCCAAGUUGGCAUACAAGUUCUUUGGGCCAUUCACCGUCGAGCAGCGCAUCGGCACCAUGGUGUACAAGUUGGCACUUCCAGAGGACAGACGCAUCCACCCGGGUUUUCAUGUAUCCCAGCUCAAGCCGUUCACACCAGAUUACUCUCCGGUCUUCUCCGAGCUACCACGCACUCUAGACCUCACUGCUGCUCCGUUACAGCCCAUUACCAUCCUCGCCCAUCACCUCGUCAAGAAAGGUAACUCCUCGGUGCUGCAGGUUCAAGUCCAAUGGUCUUCACUGUCGCCAGACUCUGCAACCUGGGAAGAUUACUCCGUGCUGCAUCACCGAUACCCAACGGCUCCUUGCUGGAAUGAGACAACACUUCCGCUCAAGGAGGGACGAAUGUCACACCUGAUGUGGGUACAUCAGUGGACUAGAUAGGGGAUGAGAGUGUGAAAGAACAUGCGGUGCCCCCAUGUUUGGUUUUGGUAAUUGAUGAUAAUCUCUAUGGACUAAUGGUUGCCUUGAGUUAUAUUUGAAGGUUUUGUCCAUAGGCUUUUUCUUGGAGUACAUGUGUUGGUUUCAAGGAGAGUUUGUGUCGACCAAGGUGCUAUUCAAGGAAUUACCUAAAGAUUGGUCUUGUGAGAGGUUGAUCAAGACUAAGUCAAAGAGUGAAUCAAGUUGAUCAAACCACAAAGCGUAAAGAUGUACCAAGAGGGAUCAAGUGAUCCCAUGGUAUGGUAAGCAUUGUCCAUUACGCUUUGUUUGCUAACCCAUGGUUUUCCUGAGAGUUCUUUGUAGGGUUAGGUUGCGAUGUGCAAGUUCAAGUGGAGCAUCAUGAAGAUAUCAAAUGCUUGAAGCUUGCUGUUCAUUAUGGUAACAAUGGAUUUAUGAAGAUGUGCCAAAGAGUGGCUCACCCAUAGUGGAGUAUGGGGGAGCAAUCAACUAGUCUUCUUCGAGCCAACACAAUCAAGAAAGGUGGUCCAACUUGAGGGAGUCAAGAUCGUCAUCAUCUAGCUCAAGUGGACUAUGUGCAAGACAAAGGUUUGCCCUUGAUAGGUUUUCUAUUUUUCCGGUCUCAUGGUGGUAGUUGGGAGACCGGGUUAUAUGAUCGAUUGCCGUACUAUCAAGGGGGCUCUCGAUGAGUAGCUUGAUCGUAUCGUUCAUAGAGAGCUCAAACCUUUGCAUCCUUGCAUCAUCUUUAUUGGUUCUUGUUUGGUUAGCUUUGUGAGUCUUAGAGCUUAUGGUCAUCUUGAUGACAAGCUCGAGUUCAUCGAAAACGGAGUUCACAUGCAUCUUCUAUGAUGUUUUCGAUGUUGGAGGUUUUGCCGAUUCUUCUCGGUUGGAGGUUUCACUCCUAUAUUUGUUAGGCAUACCUCCCCUGCCUCUUCUUACUAUAACCAGUCGUGGUUUUGAUGCUGCUCGUCGUCUUGUAUCCAACAAGCUUGAGUUUGCUCAAUUCGGAGCUCAUUUGCAGAAGUUUUGGCAGUUCUGGUUUUCUCCCUGCGAAAGUACCGCGGUCGGCAGCGGCAGUAUCGCUUAUAGCGUCAAGCGGUAGUACCGCUCUACUGCCGCCUUGAUUUUGGGUCCUGCACUUUUCAUGUCGGGUUUAGCAGUAGUUGCAUGGCAGUAAGGCACGGUAGUUCCGCCUACCACCUAUAAGCGGUAGUACCACUCCGGUCGGGCGGUAGUACCGCUUCUGCAUUACUACCACCGUACUCUGCUCUGCCCUGCCUCUUUUGGUCCCGUGUUCUGCUCCUCCAGCGGUAGUAUGGCUGGGGUGAGCGGUAGUACCUCUUAUAAGCGGUACUACCGCCCCAAGGUUCAUGUUUUGUUGCCCCUUUUCCCUGCUUCUUACGCCCGAGCGGUAGUACCGCUCGUGUGCGGGCUGAGCACAUAACGGUUGGAUCUUCCCCUUCCUAUAAAAGGGGGUCUUCUUCCCCAAUGAACCUUAUCUCUUGGGCUCGUUUUCUCCCCCCUUUGUUGACCUUCUUCGAGCUUGCUAACUCUCAAUCCCUCCAUGGAUUCUUGCUAGUUUUGGGGGGAAAGGAGAGAGGAGAUCUAGAUCCACAUUUUCACCAAUCACUUUCUCCUCUAUGUGAGGGGAACCCCUUGGAUCUAGAUCUUGGAGUUCUUGGUGUUCUCCUUCUUGUUCUUUUUCUCAUUUUCCUCCCUAGCAUUAGUUGCUUUGGUGGGAUUUGGGGGAGAAGGACUUGGGCACUCCGUGUGCCCUUGCCAUUGCAUUUGGUGCAUCGGUUUGAGUUCUCCACGAUGAUACGUGGAAGUUACAAGUUGAGAAGCUUAUUACUCUUGGGUGCUUGGUACCCUUGAGCUUGUUCCUCUUGGGUGCUUGGGCGCCCCAGACGGUUGGUGGUUUCGGAGCUCAAUCAUUGUGGUGCAAAACUCCGGGCAAGCGUCGGGGUCUCCAAUUAGGUUGUGGAGAUCGCCCCGAGCAAUUUGACGGGUACCGGUGACCGCCCCCAAGGGUUGCCAAAGUGUACGGGUUCGGUGACCGCCCCCAAGGGUUGCCAUUUGUACGGGUUCGGUGACCGCCCUUAAGGGUCCCUUAGUGGAAUCACGACAUCUUGCAUUGUGCGAGGGCGUGAGGAGAUUACGGUGGCCCUAGUGGCUUCUUGGGGAGCAUUGUGCCUCCACACCGCUCCAAACGGAGAUUAGCGUCCUCAAGGGUGUGAACUUCGGAAUACAUCGUCGUCUCCGCGUGCCUCGGUUAUCUCGUACCCGAGCCCUUUACUUAUGCACUUUACUUUGUGAUAGCCAUAUUGUUUCUUGUCAUAUAUCUUGCUAUCACUUAGUUGUUUAUCUUGCUUAGCAUAAGUUGUUGGUGCACAUAGGUGAGCCUAGUUGUUUUAGGUUUUGUGCUUGGCAAAUUAACCGCUAGGUUUAUUCCGUAUUUGUUCAAGCCUAAACCGUAUUUUUUUAAGAAGCACCUAUUUACCCCCCCUCCCCUCCCCUCUAGGCGAGAUCCUCGAUCUUUUAGAGUGUAUGGGCUAGAGCCCAGUGGGUGUAGUGGGCCGCUUGUGGCCAGCGUGUGUGUGUGUGGACUUGUACUUAAGCAGUGACCGCAAACGAAGAUAGGCAGAAAAUGAAAUACGAUCUGAAUUCUGUCAUUCCCUUCCCUUCUCUGCUCACCUACCUGCUUCCUCCCUCACUCCGAUCCUCUUUUCUGUGCGAUCGAUCCUCUCCCUAGGGUUCAUCGGUCAUCACAUGAUGGUCAUGCAUCCCUUUUAGAAUACGCAUUUCGUGAAUAUGUGAAAAAUGUACUGGGUUCUUCCUGUGAGCAGUAAUGGGAUUUCUAACUCAUGAAAAUAAUUCAGAUUUUAUCCAGGAGCUCUACAUGAAAGCUAGUUUCGGCCCAUCACAUUGUUUUCAGGUUGAGCCCCGCUUCGGUACAUCCCCUUACUCAACAUACCUUUGACAAAUAGUACCCACUUUCGCUUGCAUGGUGGGUCGCUAGCCGAAACGUAUACGUACGUACGCUCAAGGAGUAGCGUCAAAUAGACGCCAACUCAUAUUUGGCGCCUGUUAUAGGCUCCAACCUGGAUUGGCCCAUUUACAUUUUUCUUUCCUUUUUUUAAGCUUCAAAAAAUAUUGCGCCAGUUGGGAUUCAAACUUGGAAGCAACAGGUUUAGUUCCAAGCGUAGUUAGCAGCUGGGACAUAUAACAGGUUGUGCUGUGAGUGUGGGCUUUUGGCGGGCAACCUCCAUGAAAGUGGUUAUUUUGAAAAAUUAGACAAUCACAUUUUGGAGUUUCAAAAAAUUCUGAAAAAAAAUCUACACAUUCAUAUGAAUGUAUUCAACAUGUGUAUAAAUUCUACAAUGAAAUACAUUGUGCUGAAAGCUACACAAAAAAUAGAAAAUAUUGCAUUUCUAAUAGUGAACAGUGUGUGUACUGUUUAUCAGUUUGAAACUCGUGAUUUGUCUUUUUUUUGUAGCUCUCACCAUAAUUUAUUUCGUCUUCAAAAUUUAUACACAUUUAGAAUACAUCCAUGUAAACAUGAAUGAUUUUUAUCAGAUUUUUAAAAACUUUUAAAUAUAUUUUCCGUUUUAUUUCUCUAAAAACGACCUCCAUGGAGGUCGACCGCCAUUGGCAUUUAGCAGCUAUUCAUAGUUCUACUUCUUCAUCUUCUUGUUGUGUACAAUUCUGGUUCAAGUUCUGCAAGGUUUUUCAGGGUGUUUUUUCUUUUGGUUUUUUGAAGCAUGGUUUUCGCUUGGUUUUUCUCUUUCUUUUUCCUUUUUAGUUUUAUUUUUUUGUCCUUUUUCAUUUUUAUUUUUCACAACCUUUCAAUCGAAUUUGCAAAGUUUUUAAAAAAUUGUUUUUCAAAUCUGCAAUUGUUUUCCAAAUUUGCGAACACUUUUCAAACUAGUGAACUUUUCUCAAAUUCGUAUCGUUUUCAAUCCAUGAACCUUUUCCAAAUUGAUGUUAUUUUAAAAAAAUUAACUCGUAACAAUCUUCAAAGUCGCGAACUUUUUAAAAUUUAACUCGCGAAUACUUUACAAAUUCAUGAACUGUUUUUUAAGCUUGUGAACUUUUUUCAAAUUUCAUGAUCUUUUUUCAAACCUAGCGGGCGAAGCGAGCGAGCUAGCGCAAUAUUAAACUUUUUUACAGACCCCACAUUUGUCUUCUUUGCCAAGGGCUACUAAAAUGUCCAAAUGAUCAGAAAUUUGAAGAGGACCUCACACACCAAAUUAUCUACCAUGCAAUUUUUUUGAAUUUAUUGAUUUUUUUAAGUAUUUAUUUUGAAUUUUUUCUUCAGCGCAGGUGCAGAUUAGUCUGGGCACCGAAUCGCUGCUCUCUGAAUUGACACUACAAUAUGGAAGUUGCAGUUAUGGACAAAUAACAACCAGUCAAUACAUGGCUGACAAAUCAUACGUACCCCACAGCACACACAAACAUCCCAUGGCAUAUCAGCGGCAUGAUCAGCAUGUACAGCAUUCUAAAUGGGAACAAAGAAACAAACCUAUCCUGCGGCCUGCUCCAUGGAAAUAAACAGCUCAUGAAACAAAGCAUUAUAAAUGAGUUUACAAAACCAGAUGAAUACAUAGACCGGAGCUCCGCGGUCCUGACUCCUGAGAUGUGAUGAGAUAUACUCCUUUUUUUUUUCUGUCUGUUGCUGCAUUAUCAGUUUUUUCUCUUCUGGUUUUGCUUGACAGUUUCAGCACACAAUGUAGAACUGGGACUGUGGCCUUUUUGCUAUAAAAACCCGGGUGAAUAAGUAAUGGGGAGUGAGCUGUGUUGUCUUCCAUUCCUUGGGCGCCCAAUUCAGCGUGGUGUUAUUAGUCAUGUCACCUGAAGCACCAUGAAGCAACUGACCAGGGUUCAGUGAUCCUGAUUCCUGAGACAGCACAGUUUUUAACUCCUUGGACGCCAGAAUUUUGCACAGGCAGGGCGAAGAUGCACGCUAUCUGGAAGACAAUAUCCACAUUAACAAUUAUAGAAAGUCAAAGCAGUAACACAGUAAUUAUGGAAAAGUCUGUGGAUGUCAGAACUGACGGGGAAUAUAUAGCAGGGGUUCCUCUCCUCGGGCAGAAGAACCAUGAAGUUUAAUUCCUUUCUGAAUUAUACAACAGUAAUUAUUGACAAGUCAUGUGGAUGUCAUCUGUAUAUUAUUAUGGCAAGAUGAAAAUUGCCUGCAAGUUGAAGAGAAAAUUUUCAAGUUAAGUAAGCAGUACAAACAGAGAAGAGUACUAAUAAAAAGUUGUAUUCGGUCAUUCCAAGCCAUGAAAGGUAUGUCCCUUUACUUGGUUCUUGGAUGCAAGUUCAGUUUCUAAAAGUUCUGAAGAUUAGCUAGAACAAACACUGUGUAUUAUAUGUUUCUGCCCUUGAAAACCUUAAUACUCCCCCCUUUCUGGUUUAUAUAGGUCCUGCGUGUAUCCAAGGUCGUCAAUUUUAUCAAUGUAAUGUGAAUUGAAUUGUAUAUCACAAAAGUUAUACCAUUAGAAAAUAUAACAUUUGAAGUUUCUAAUGGUAUAAUUUUUGUGGUGUAUAACUCAUAUUACGUUGCUCAAAUUGUCGAUCUAGAGAUACGUGUAGACCUUAUAAACUGAAAGGAGGUAAGUAGUAAAAGGAGAAAAAAAAGUGUUAAUGCUAUAAUCCAUUUUGAUUUGGGCACAGUAGGCUUGCAACACUUUGAAAAAAAAAGGCUCCUAGCCGCUUACCUCCUCUGCAGCACCUGGGACCAACAAGACAACCUCCAACACUAGUUGCACGGCCAGAGCGAACAAGUAUGGAGUAUAUAGGGCAGAGCACCAUGUAUGUCUGACACCGGAGCAAAGAUGGAGAGGUGUGCGGCGACGAUGGCCUCAGAGGAGGAAGAUGAGGGACCAGGGUCGUCGGUGCACACCUCCACCUCGUCGCGCCCUGACCAAAGGGCAGAGUGAGUCCAUAAUUUCCACCCUGUUCCUCUCCUACACUUGGCCAAGUGUUUCCCAGCUCUGCACAAUUUUGUAGUACAACAGAACAGCACGUUGCUCCACAGUUUUUAACUCCUUGGACGCCAGAAUUCGACUCUGGGGAUGUGACGAAUCUUGUGGGCAUUCUCCCCUUCGCACCUGGCAACUAGACUUGGACAUGCAACAAUUUUGAGUACCUUCAAAGCAGAGAGAUUCCGUAUGCUUUCAGGCAAAUAUGUCAGGUUGGGAGAAAGGCCGAUGAUAAGUUCUUCUAGGCAAGUCAACUGUCCCAACCAUUCCGGUAACAUCUCCAGGCCAUUGCACCCUAACAACGUCAGAUCCGUAAGAGCGAUGAGGUCCUUCAUGCUUUCAGGCAAAGAUGUUAGUUUGGGGCAAUCGUCGAUUAAAAUUUCUUCUAGAGAACUUAACUGUCCCAACCAUUCCGGCAGCAUCUCCAGGCCUUUGCACUUUUUUAACUUCAGUUUUUUAAGAGCGGCAAGGUUCUUCAUGCUUUCAGGCAAAGAUGUCACAUUGCAACAAUCUCGGAUGUCAAAGACUUGUAGCGAACCCAGGUGGCCUAACCAUGUCGGGAGUGUCUCCAGGUCCUUCAACGACCAUAAAUGUAGUCCAGUGAGAGAGGUGAAGCAUAGGAUGACCUCUGACAAAGUCCGGAAACCACUGACGGAGUCUAAAUGAAAUAUCUCAAGUGAAGGAAAGUAUUGAAGUCUAUCCCACUUGUCUUCAGUGAAACUACAAUGCUUUAGAAUCACCUUAGAAGGGCGAACGGAAGACGAGAGUUUUCCAAAUCCCCGUUCUGGCAAAACUGUCUCGCUGUUGCUCAAAGCCCAAAUCAUACUUCUUGGGGGAUAUGGUAGAAACUUCAACCUUGGGCAGUCCAGUACCUCCAAAAGAUGCAAAUUAGGGAUAAGAAACUCUUCGUUUUCUGUACUUGACUCUGUUGUCCACCAUUCCACCAAAUUCUCCAUCGACACCAAUAUCAGCACUCUUAGUUUCAUACAAGUUCUGCCAUCUCCGUAGAAUUCCUUACCGACUUUCCUAAUGUUGGGAAUGUUCCUCACACACAGCCUUCUUAAAUUUGGCAGUGCCCCGAAUGGAGGAAGACAAUCACAUGCUUCCAAACCAUGAAGGGUCAGUUCACUGAGAAAAGGGAGGUAGGACGAGAUGUGCAACAUCCAGUCAGGGAAAUCCUUGCUCCUAUACCCAAGUAACCAAAAGUUUUCAAGAGUCCGAGGAGGUAUGAGCCUGUCCAGCACAGAUUCAGCUCCUUCACUUUCCCACUGAAGUUUUAGUGCUCGAAUAUCUGAUUUAUCACGCAGUUUGACUCUGUCUGCAUCUUCUGGACGCUUGACAUUCUGAAGGCCUCUAAGUAACAGAUCUGAACAAGUCAAUCCUGCAAGAUCCACUAUACUGCUGCAUCCUCUACUCUCUAUCUCAUGUACCUGAUGCACUAUUGUGCCCACAAGAUUUAGACGCUUUCGAAUGGCUAGAACCUUUUCAAGCAAAUUAGAAGUUGCACUGUCAACCACCAACUGGGUGAGACUAGUCAUGUCGCCAAUGCUAUCAGGGCAGUUAUACAUUUUUGGAAGGCCAUUCAUGUGCAGUAUUUGAAGCUUAAGGUCACCAAAUGAGGAGGGGAGCUCACUGAGCCCUAGACAGUAUGACAAAUAGAGACACCUCAACUUAAACAACUUGCAUAGCGACUCAGGCAAUUGUUGGAUCUUAGGACAAUUUGUUAGGUUCAAAUAUUGAAGCUCAUAGAGGUGAUCAAAACAUUCAGGGAGUUCUUCAAGGUUAUGACAAUCUGAAAGAUCUAGGUAUUUCAAGUGAUUAAGUUGGCAGAAUGAUCCUGGCAGCAUUGAAACCUUGUAGCAACCAGAGAGGUUCAGGAACUCAAGUUUCCGAAUGUGGCCGAAAUCAGUUGGCAGGUUUUCUAGCUCAUGGCAACUUGAUAGGUUCAGAUGUUCUAAGCAUGGAAAGCUAACAUUGUCAGGUAGUUUGGUGAGCUUUGAACAACUCGACAAGUUUAAGAAUGAGAGUUUAAGAAGGCUACCAAAUUCAUCAGGGAGCUUUUGAAGACCACAACAGCCUGACAUAUCUAGGUGAUGCAAGCAUUUAAGCUUGCAAAUUGAUUCAGGCAAUUCUUGCAGUGUACAACACCCGGAUAGAUUGAGAAAAAAGAGUUGAGAGAGUUCUCCUAGCGGUGCAGGUAGCUUACUGAGGCUGCUACUGAAAGAUAGGUCCAAAUAGCAAAGUUUGUUGAGGCGACAAAUACUGUCAGGCAAGGUUUGAAGCAAGGAAUUGGACAGAAUAAGAGUUUCCAUGUUUUGAAGUGCAUGAAAAUGCUUAGGAAGUGAUUUUAUUGGCAAGCCUGUGGCAUCAAUAUACCUAAUUAGCUUCAAUUGAUUAAUUGAAGAUGGCAGCACCACACUCCUUGGAGCAGAUUGGCCUUUAGCUGAAUGCCCACUUAGGUCCAAGACACGUAAGUACUUGGAUCGAGAAAAUGCCUUUUUCGGGAGUUGCAGUACCCCCAAAUCCCUGAAGUGGAGGGACCUAAGCUUGCGUGGAAUAUAUUUGAAAACCUUGGGAUCAUUCUUAAAGUUGGUUAACUGUGCAUGUCGGCAGUAACGAGCUUUGUUCCAGCUGGUGCUUUUGGUAGCAUCCAGAUCAAUAAAUUCAUCAGCAGCAAUUAUUGAUGCAAGAUCAUGAACCAAAUCAUGCAUGACGAGAUCUGGAGGAGCUUUGAGAUGCAAUGGACUUGGACUGACCUGCAGAGGUAACUACUAUCAAUAUAGUAUUGCAAAUGGAAAUGUAGAACCCCUUGAGAAUAGGAAAUGUUAAAAUGGAGUUAAGAGUUGCAAUUUCCUCAAAAUCUGUGGAGCCCUUAUACAGAAUAAUUUUCCUACACACAAUUAUUUUUACUAGAAACCAUGGAUUUUCAUAAAUUGUUUUUAUGGCAUUAAAAUUUGGAUAAGAACAGAGCACGUAAAGCUAAUAAAGCAUAUGUUAUAUACAAAGAAUAUUCAUACAUAUUUCUCUAGAUAUGUUUUAUGAUAUUUUUUAUUUCUUUGUAUGUCAAGUUUGAUAUGUUUACUAACUAGUUCAACAAGUUUCAACUAAUUUGAAAUUAUACGUAACUUGCUUACUAACUAUAAAUUAUGAAGAUGAGUGACUAUUGAAGGGUGAUUAUUAAAGGAACCACCCCCUGCCGCUCACUAGGGGAAGUCCACACAUGCACCGACUUCCCACCGCCGUUAUCACCAACGGCGCCUCCACUACAGUCAUGCUGCCCCCCCUGACAUGUGGGCCUGCCAUUGAAACACUCAAGGCCUAAACCAAUAUCCCUUCCCCGAAGCUCAGCCUCCAUGUUACCUCAACCCCUCCCAAAAGCCGGCCGCCAACCACCUACAACUCUCUCCUCCCCUAUUCUCCACGCGACCACGCCACGACUCAAUGUCGUCACCUCCACCAGUACCUCCACUCACCACUUCGACAGCUGCCGCUAGCCCAACACUGGGAUGGUGCUCCAACAACCCCACGCCCCACCUCUAGCAAAUGAUAUCUUGUGGUUUGAUACUCUACCAAGCGAAGUUAGAGUUCAAAAGCCUAUUUUCUAAAUUUAUUGAACUAAUAUACAUGUAGGGUGUUGUACGGAGAGAAAUGUAUCUUCCUUUCCUAAGUAAGUGCCGGGUCGCAAAAGGAAUGCCACAAAUUCUUAAGAGCAAAGGAUAACACCAUGCACAUAAUAUGGUGGACUCUAACUAGGAUUAAAUCAUCAAUAUGUCAUAUUAGUAUAGGGGUCCAUAGCAAGAAUAUAAAAAAACAUAUAUGACAUAUCCGAUUCAAAAUCAAUAAAAAAUAAAUUAUUUAGAUUAAUAGAUUGAAUAAAAAUUAGAUUUUAAUUUUGUGGCAUAUAAUCUAGAUAUUAGAUCCAGGAAGCAAAGGACAAGAAUCUAAAACUAAAAGAAUAUAUAAACCUGACAUGAGUCAAAAACAGAAAGUACAAAACUGAACUUAUCAGUGCUAAUAACAAAUUAAAAUUUAGAGAUGGAUAUACUAAGUCACCAACAUAAAUUAAAAAUCAGAGUGUAGGACCUAAUCUAGAACCAUAACAGAGUAUAAUUUAUGAAAGCUUGUCCAUAACAGAGUAUAAAGAAACAAAAAACAUAGUAGUAAAAAUGAACCAGCCAUAUAAGAGAAAUUAUGUCUAUAGGUACUAACCGAAGCGGAUCCUGGAAUCCGAAGAAAGGACAUCCCUAGAAGGUAGUUGAUACACCUUUGGCCAUCGUAGCCGGACAAAUGUAUCCAAGUGCAUUCCAUUGCUGGAUUAGACGAUUUCUGUCCAUGACAAAGCCCUUGGGGAAGGCUGCCAAGUACGUGAAACACAUUUUGAAUUCUAGCUUCAUGUAGUAAUAGCUCAGCAUUAGCCUCUCUAAUGUUUCUUUCUGAUGUCCUUCUCUCAAACCCAAAUCAACCUUGGUGUCUCUUAUAUCUUCCCAUGCCCCCGCGGUCUUUAUGUCCGACAUUACUUGCCCAAGAGCAUUUGCCACGAGCGGUAAACCCCCACACUUUGCUGCAAUCUGCUUUCCAAUUUCUUCCAAGCCACUGUGGUCAUCAUCAGGCCCAAAUGCCCUUCGUUUUAUUAAUUCCCAACAGUCACCAGGUUCUAAAACACCCAAAUCGAUUAUGUCAGACUCAGGAACUGGGACAAUUUUCCUCUCAUUUGUAAGAAAACCAGUGCGCAAUUGUUGCACUACCCGCAGGUUUCGUGUAGUUACUAUAAUACGACUACCCUUGUGGCCAUGCUGUAACAUCUCCUUCAACCUUUCAAGAUUAUCUCCAUCUUCUUCCCAGAGAUCAUCCAGAACAAUCAAGUAUCUUCUAGUAGAAAGUUCUUUUUUCAGAUGAAAUUGCAAAUCGCAGUUGUCAAGGUUAAUAGUGCUAUUCAUAAUGCUUCUCAGGAUUGCACUCCCAAUUUUGUGCAAAUCAAACUGCUUGGACACAUUAACCCAGAUCGAGAUGUCGAAGACACCGACCCUCUUGUCUGCAAAAACCGAUUCAGCCAAUGUCGUCUUGCCUAUGCCGCCAAGGCCAACAACUGGGAUGAUGGAGAUAUCCUUGUUAGCUUCUUCACUUGUGAGUAGCAGGCUGAUUAUCUUUUCCUUCUCGACACCCCUCCCCACCAUUCCAGUUUUCAUGCCAUGACCAUUCCAGUUGGCUGCGAAAGUUUCAUUGUUUCUGUUCCCUUCUCCCCUUGAUUCUAGAGGCACAAGACUGAGCCUCCUCCUGCCCUCCUUCUCAAUUUCGUCUAUUUUCUUGGUCACUUUCUUCAUCUUGUGGGGCAUGGUUAUUCGCUGCAGGAAUUGAUUGUUCCUGGAAAAACACAAAUUGACCUGCAAAAACAAAAGGUGAAGUCAACUUCAGUCCCCUGCACGUUUAAUUAGUUACUCAAAAAUAGACAAAAUCAAAGAGAUCACUAUCUUACUUUCUACUAUAGAUUAGAUAAAGAAGAAUCAAACAUCUUAAUGAAUUCCUUCGGUUUGCUCUCUUUUUUUAGAAGAUUCAGGUUUUUUUUUUGGAAGAUUCAGAUUCCUUCACCCAGGCAGAGCCAACUAACUGUACGAGAGAGACAGAUGUGCCAGUACAAAAGCAGAAAAAUACGGAUUAAUUAGCCUCCGGAGGCCUCUAGACCCGCCACCCGGAACCACCCAUCCCUCGCCGCCAGCACCAGGAUCGGCGAGAUGGUGCUGGGAUCGAGGAUCUACCAGAACGCCGCCGCAGCAGGGAGAUGGAAAGAAAAAUUGUAUGGUGUGUGGAGAGGAGAAGAGGGGGAAAGCAGAGGAGCUACCUUGGAUUGGGUCUUGCUGAUGAGCUCAUUGGCGUCCAGCUCGUCCAGCACAUCCUCGACGUCGUAGGCGACGCGCUUAAACUUGGUAAGCCACCGCUGGAACACCCUUCCGCCCUCGCCUCCUCGGCGCGACCUCUCGUCGGCGUCGCCCAGCACGGCCUCCAGAUCUUUCAUCUUCUCCGCCAUCUCUAGCACGUCCUCCCGGUACCUCCACUGCAGAGUGAUCUCCGCCGCGGCGUAUUCGCCUCCGGCAAACAGCUUGCCGACGAUCUGUUUCGCCACGGCGCCCGCAAUCACACCCCCGAGCCCGCUCAUCGCCAUGGCUCCCUCCCCAGCCAACCCAAGCUACUGCUCUCCUCCCUCUGAACCCACGAGAAGAGAAUGGAGUUCUGCUGCUGCUGCUGCUGUGUGUGCAGUGUAGAGACAAAUGGUGAAAAGGGCCUGUCUUUAGUUUUCUAUAUCUUUCCGGGUGUUUGUAUCACUGGAAAUUUACUAAUAGAUCUGGGGCUUUUUGCAAAAACAAACGACUGACCUUUUCAUUUCACAAGCAUAACCAUGGACUGAGCGUCCUCCUUUUCUUCACAAGCACAAACAUAGUUGCCAACUUAUUGUAUGGGGCAUCACCACUUUAAUUAUUCAACCAAAAACAUAAGUUGGGAUACAUGCAAUAUCUGAGCAGGUGGCGCCUCACAUCAAGUGAUAAACUGGCCUUAGCUAAAUUAUGAGCUUUCCUAUUAGCUUCUCUAGGUUCAAACUUCACAUGACCUAAUUCAAACCUACCAAUCCAGUAUUUGAAUGUCGUUUAUGAUUAUUGAACUUGGACCUCCGUACUCUGCCUCCAGAUGAUUCACCGUUGAUUUACAAUCUGUCGCCACCUGAAUCUUCUGAAUAUGUAAACCCAGAGCCAGCACAAGAGAACGACCAUGGUUUCUAGUACUUCCGACUCGAUAAUUCCCCGCACAGCAGCGGACGUGGCAUCCCGUGCUUUGCAAAUAGUUUCUCAAGACCAACCCUCAUUUAUGAAAGUCAAACUAAGAGCAUCUACAAUCAUACGUCUCAAAUCGGUAUCAAACUCCCGACAAACCAAUCAUUGACCAGUUAAAAAAAGCAAGUUGAACUCCUCAAACCGGGCCCAAAUGCCCAGGUUGUCCGACACCCCUCAUAUACAGCCUAAAUCUAUGACGGAUAUGGACGUGUCCGCCACAUCAAGUCGGCCCAUGCUAGCUCACCAUGACCCUUCUUCGUCCCUACUAAAAACCUCACCUGGAGAGCAAACAGCUCCACUUCGUUGUCGCUCCGUUCUCCACCAAUUUGUUCCCCUCCCCAUCUCCGUCCACCAUGUCCAGCACCGGUAGUCACUUUGGCGAAUACGGCGGCGAGUGUGUAACGCCCCGGUCAUAGCCACCGGUUUUUGGCCGUUACGCCUGGCGGGAUCUAGACUGGCCUCACAGAUCAACAUUAGUCUUUCCUACACACUUUGUCCUCUCGUGCGCACCCGGGGUUGGUAUCAUGGAUUAGGGCGUGCUAGCCAUGUCGGCCCGCUGGUCAUGGGCCAGGCGAGGACCCACCGAAGAUUGAUGAAUGGGCCACGCAGACCCUGGCCUUCGGCGUAAUCAAGAUGAAAAUCUCAUGGAGGCUUGGCGUACACUUCAAGCGUAUUUGAAAGAUCACCAUGUUUAUCCCUAGAUUGAAACAAACCAUGUGGAAACCCUAGAUACCCCAGUGCCUAUAUAAGCCCUGGGGUUUAGUCCGUAGAGGCAUGCAUAUGCACUUUUAUAGCUUAGAACAUCUUCAUACGUUCUCAAGGUAGAUCAUCAUGUAACUUGCACCCCAUCACAAUCAAUAUAUAAUAAGUAGGACGUAGGGUUUACCUCAUCAAGAAGGCUCGAAUCUAGGUAAAACAUAGUGUCCCUACUUCUCUUGUUACCAUCUGACUCAGAUCACCAAGCUUAGGACCCCCUACCCGAGAUUUUCCGGUUUUAGCAUUGACAUUGGUGGCCCAUGCAGGUCCCAUCGUAUGAUCACGUGGGCGAAGUUUCACCUGAUCAUCAAAUCCGUUCCGACAUCUCACCCAAGCCGGCCACUCACGGCUUUGGGUUAACUGAGCACCCGAGUGACGAGUGAUAUUUUUCCACUCAUUUCAACAUUGUUUAAACUGAGAUAUUUCAUUCAAAGAGAGAUAUUUGAAGGAAAUAUGCCCUAGAGGCAAUAAUAAAGUUGUUGUUUAUAUUUCCUUAUAUCAUGAUAAAUGUUUAUUAUUCAUGCUAGAAUUGUAUUAACCGGAAGCUUAGUACAUGUGUGAAUACAUAGACAAACAGAAUGUCAAUAGUAUGCCUCUACUUGACUAGCUUGUUGAAUCAAUGAUGGUUAUGUUUCCUAACCAUAGACAUGAGUUGUCACUUGAUUAACGAGAUCACAUCAUUAGAGAAUGAUGUGAUUGACUUGACCCAUCUGUUAGCUUAGCACGAUGAUCAUUUAGUUUGUUGCUAUUGCUUUCUUCAUAACUUAUACAUGUUCCUAUGACUAUGAGAUCAUGCAACUCCCGAAUACCGGAGGAACACUUUGUGUGCUACCAAACGUCACAACGUAACUGGGUGAUUAUAAAGGUGUUCUACAAGUGUCUCCGAUGGUGUUUGUUGAGUUGGCAUAGAUCGAGAUUAGGAUUUGUCACUCCGAUUGUCGGAGAGGUAUCUCUGGGCCCUCACGGUAAUGCACAUCAAUAUAAGCCUUGCAAGCAAUGUGACUAAUGAGUUAGUUGCGGGAUGAUGCAUUACGGAACGAGUAAAGAGACUUGCCGGUAACGAGAUUGAACUAGGUAUUGAGAUACCGACGAUCAAAUCUCGGGCAAGUAACAUACUGAUGACAAAGGGAACAACGUAUAUCGUUAUGCAGUUUGACCGAUAAAGAUCUUCGUAGAAUAUGUGGGAACCAAUAUGAACAUCCAUGUUCCCUAUUGGUUAUUGAUCGGAGACGUGUCUCGGUCAUGUCUACAUAGUUCUCGAACCCAUAGGGUCCGCACGCUUAACAUUCGGUGACGAUCGGUAUUAUGAGUUUAUGUGUUUUUGAUGUACCGCAGGUAGUUCGGAGUCCCAGAUGUGAUCACGGACAUGAAGAGGAGUCUCGAAAUGGUCGAUACAUAAAGAUUGAUAUAUUGGAUGACUAUAUUCGGACGUCGGAUGAGUUCCGGGGGUCACCGGAUAAUUAUUGGAGUGCCGGGGGGUUAUCGGAACCCCCGGGGGAACUAAUGGGCCAACAUGGGACUUGUGUGUGAGAGAGGAGGGGCCAAGGAGGGGGCCGCGCCCCCUCUUUCCCUCCCUCUCUCCCUCCUCCUUCCUCCCCUCUCCCUCCUCGCGCCCCAAGGCCGGCCGGCCUCCCCCUUGCUCCUUUAUAUACGGGGGCAGGGGCACCCUAGGACACACAAGUUGAUUGUUUCCGGCCGUGUGCGGUGCCCCCUCCACCAUAAUCCACCUCGGUCAUAUCGUAGCGGUGCUUAGGCGAAGCCCUGUUUCGUUAGCAUCAUCAUCACCGUCAUCACGUUGUCGUGCUGACGAAGCUCUCCCUUGACACUCUGCUGGAUCAUGAGUUCGUGGGACGUCACCGAGCCGAACGUGUGCAGAUCGCGGAGGUGCCGUACUUUCGGUACUAGGAUCGGUCGAUCAUGAAGACGCACGACUACAUCAACCGCAUUGUCAUAACACUUCCUCUUACGGUCUACGAGGGUGCGUAGACAACACUCUCCCCUCUCGUUGCUAUGCAUCACCAUGAUCUUGCGUGUGCGUAGGAUUUUUUUUUUGAAAUUACUGCGUUCCCCAACAGUGGCAUCUGAGCCAGGUUUAUGCGUAGAUGUUAUAUGCACGAGUAGAACACAAAGGAUUUGUGGGAGUGGGUAUAUACAUAUUGCUUGUCGUCACUAGUUGAUUCUUGAUUCGGCGGUAUUGUUGGAUGAAGCGGCCCAGGCCGACAUUACGCGCACGCUUACGCGAGACUGGUUCUACCGACGUGCUUCGCACACAGGUGGCUGGUGGGUGUCAGUUUCUCCAACUUUAAUUGAAUCGGAUUCAAUGAAGGGUUCUUUCUAAAGAUCAAAAAGCAAUCACUAUACCGCGUUGUGGUUUUUGAUGCGUAGGUAAGAACGGUUCUUGCUCAGUCCAUAGCAGCCACGUAAAACUUGCAACAACAAAGUAGAGGACGUCUAACUUGUUUUUGCAGGGCAUGUUGUGAUGUGAUAUGAAGACAAGAUGCUAAAUUUUAUUGCAUGAGAUGAUCAUGUUUUGUAACACAGUUAUCGACAAUGGGUAGGAGCCAUAUGAUUGUCACUUUAUUGUAUGAAAUGCAAUCGCCAUGUAAUUGCUUUACUUUAUCACUAUGUGGUAGCGAUAGUCGUAGAAGCAAUAGUUGGCGAGAUGACAACGAUGCUUCGCUGGAGAUCAAGGUGUCAAGCCGGUGACGAUGGUGAUCAUGACGGUGCUUUGGAGAUGGAUAUCAAAGGCACAAGAUGAUGAUGGCCAUAUCAUAUCACUUAUAUUGAUUGCAUGUCAUGUUUAUCCUUUAUGCAUCUUAUUUUGCUUAGUUCGGCGGUAGCAUUAUAAGAUGAUCUCUCACUAAAUUUCAAGGUAUAAGUGUUCUCUGUGAGUAUGCACCAUUGCUACAGUUCAUCGUGCCGAGACACCACGUGAUGAUCGGGUGUGAUAAGCUCUACGUUCACAUACAACGGGUGCAAGCCAGUUUUGCACACGCAGAAUACUCGGGUUAAACUUGACGAGCCUAGCAUAUGCAGAUAUGGCCUCAGAACACUGAGACCGAAAGGUCGAACGUGAAUCAUAUAGUAGAUAUGAUCAACAUAGUGAUGUUCACCAUUGAAAACUACUCCAUCUCACGUGAUGAUCGGACAUGGUUUAGUUGAUAUGGAUCACAUGAUCACUUAGAUGAUUAGAGAGAUGUCUAUCUAAGUGGGAGUUCUUAACUAAUUUGAUUAAUUGAACUUUAAUUUAUCAUGAACUUAGUGCCUGAUAGUAUUUUGCAUGUCUAUGUUGUUGUAGAUAGAUGGCAUGUGUUGUUGUUCCAUUGAAUUUUAAUGCGUUCCUAGAGAAAGCUAAGUUGAAAGAUGAUGGUAGCAACUACACGGACUGGGUCCAUGACUUGAGGAUUAUCCUCAUUGCUGCAUAGAAGAAUUACGUCCUGGAAGCACCUCUAGGUGACAAACCCGCUGCAGGAGCAACACCAGAUGUUAUGAACACAUGGCAGAGCAAAGCUGAUGACUACUCGAUCGUUCAGUGUGCCAUGCUUUACGGCUUAGAACCGGGACUUCAACGACAUUUUGAACAUCAUGGAGCAUAUGAGAUGUUCCAGGAGUUGAAGUUAAUAUUUCAAGCAAAUGCCCGAAGUGAGAGAUAUGAAGUCUUCAAUAAGUUCUACAGCUGCAAGAUGGAGGAGAAUGGUUAUGUCAAUGAACAUAUACUCAAAAUGUCUGGGUACCACAACCACUUGACUCAACUGGGAGUUAAUCUUCCUGAUGAUAGUAUCAUUGACAGAGUUCUUCAAUCACUGCCACCAAGCUACAAGAGCUUCGUGAUGAACUAUAAUAUGCAAGGGGUGGAUAAGACGAUUCCUAAGCUCUUGGCAAUGUUAAAGGCUGCAGAGGUAGAAAUCAAGAAGAAGCAUCAAGUGUUGAUGGUCAACAAGACCACCAGUUUCAAGAAAAGGGGAAAAGGGAAGAAGGGGAACUUCAAGAAGAACAGCAAGCCAGUUGCUGCUCAAGUGAAGAAACCCAAGUAUGGACCUAAGCCUGAAAUUGAGUGCUUCUACUACAAAGGGACUGGUCACUGGAAAUGGAACUGCCCCAAGUAUUUGGUGGAGAAGAAGGAUGGCAAAGUAAAAGGUAUAUUUGAUAUACAUGUUAUUGAUGUGUACCUUACUAAUGCUCGCAGUUGUGCCUGGGUAUUUGAUACUGGUUCAGUUGCUAACAUUUGCAACUCAAAACAGGGGCUACAGAUUAAGCGACGAUUGGCUAAGGACGAGGUGACGAUGCAUGUGGGAAAUGGUUCCAAAGUCGAUGUGAUCGCCGUCGCCACGCUAUCUCUACAUCUACCUUCGAGAUUAGUUUUAGACCUAAAUAAUUGUUAUUUUGGGCCGAACAAAUUUUUUUUCUAUCAUACUUAUGACACUUCUAUGACGAUAAUUGUGACAAAACCCAGUAUCAUCAUAGAUGUGGUGGGCUCCUACUUCUAUGACAAAAAAUCAUGACAGAAAAUGGGCUUUUCGUCCUGGGCGGGCCGGAGACGCAGCUGCAUGACAUUCUUUGGGCCGUCCAUGACGGAAAAAAUAGUGGUAGAAGCGAGGGUGAGGAAAAUAACGGGGUGUUCCCGGUUACGGUGGGUGGUCGGGAUCGAGCGAUGCACGGAGGUUUGCGCGUUACUCUCGUACAUGCACGCGCGUGGGUGCGAGGCAUUGGGCUCUAACUGAACCUGAGCGAGGCGUUCGCCUACUGAACCGGAGCGAUUGCACCUGCAGGCUACGCGUUACUGAACCCGAGCGAUCGAUCGAUGGAUGUUAACUGAACCCAAUCGAGCGAUUUCUUCGCUACUGCUGCUAACUGAAGCCGAUCAAUGCUGCCUCUGGAUGAACAGUGAGCGUUGCUGGNNNNNNNNNNNNNNNNNNNNNNNNNNNNNNNNNNNNNNNNNNNNNNNNNNNNNNNNNNNNNNNNNNNNNNNNNNNNNNNNNNNNNNNNNNNNNNNNNNNNNNNNNNNNNNNNNNNNNNNNNNNNNNNNNNNNNNNNNNNNNNNNNNNNNNNNNNNNNNNNNNNNNNNNNNNNNNNNNNNNNNNNNNNNNNNNNNNNNNNNNNNNNNNNNNNNNNNNNNNNNNNNNNNNNNNNNNNNNNNNNNNNNNNNNNNNNNNNNNNNNNNNNNNNNGAUGAACAGUUCCCGGUAGGGGUGGAUGAACAUGACCCCGUGGUGUUGCCUCUGGAUGAACAGGAACCGAUCGAUCGAGCCGGUUGGGGCAGGAUGAACAGGACCCCGUGGAGGGCUAGAUGAACAGGACCACCCUGUGGAGGGCUGGAUGAACAGUAGAUGGUGGAGAGCUGGAUGAACAGUAGCCCGUGGAGGGGUGGUUGAACAGGAGCCCGUGGAGAGGGCUGGUUGAACAGUAGCCGGUGGAGUAGCGCGUGGUGGAGGCUGGAUGAACAGGAGCAUGUGGAUGAACAGUCGCAGGUGGAGGCUGGAGGAGGUCGACGGUGGAUGAAUAGUAGCCUGUGCAGGCUGGAGGGGGUCGACGGUGGAGAUGAACAGUAUCCCGUGGAGUCCCGUUUUGUGGUACGCCACACCCCUCUCGAUGAAUAGGACCCCCAUUUCAACCGUAGCACUCCAACGCAAGUCCGUUUCCUCCGUUUUGCGGUACGCCACACCCCUCCCGAUGAACAGGACCCCCGUUUCGACCUUAGGAGGUCCGUUUCCUCCAUUUUGCGGUACGCCAGACCCCUCCCGAUGAACAGGAUCCCGUUUUGAUCGUGGUCGGUCGAAUACAAGGUCGUUUCCUCCGUUCUGCUGUAUGCCAGGCCUCGUUUCCAUCAGCUGUUCUGUCCAAACCCUCCCGAUGAACAAGACGACACAUUCUAUUCCGACCCAGCCAGUUGGCUCCCCAUAAACACGACGACGACGCUGUUUCUCUAUUCCGACCCAGCCAUGUACACGAGCCCUGGCCGUACAUACGCAUGAGUAGGCAUUCGAGACCCUGCCCGUAUGUACGUACGUUGCCGUAUUUACUUUCUUGCAC